UGAUAAGUUUCGUGGCUCCGUCUCAUUUACAUUUCCUUGUCGCUUUCAGGCAUGUUUCUACAAGUAGACAUUGAUGAAUACAACACAGGCAGAACAUACUGGGCUCACUGGCCAAGGUGUGAGAUUUCCUUCACUAGCCAGAGGUGGCCAUUGAAAGACGGAAACGAAUGCGAGGAAGGCUUGUUCAUCAGAGAGGAGGUUUUCUUGCUGCCUUUAAUAAUAUUGAAGUCUCAAGUCAUU
rnacentral:lncRNA from 1 species